rnacentral:tRNA from 1 species
UGCGGAGUAGAUCAACGGUAGAUCACAAGGCUCAUGACCUUAAGAUAGAGGUUCAAUUCCUCUCUCCGCAA